GGGAGGGCGGCGCGGUGGCAAGGCGUGUGUGGCGCGAGGUGGCAAGGAUAUGCGUGCGCAGACGAGCAUGGGAAGUCACUCUUGUUUUGGGAGUAUCGAUUUUUGGCCAGUGUUCAGUUGGAUACUGUUCAUGCCACGAGUGGAAUAUGUAUCUUAGUGUUUCCCCGUGAUCUUGUCGUCUGCAGCUGUGUUACUGAGGCCGCCUUCUCCCCUCCACCACCAUGACUAAGGACAGACUUGCCGCGUUGAGAGCAGCGCAGAGUGAUGAAGAUGAUGUCGGACCUGACGAUGUUGCCGUCAAUGUGGAUGGCAACGUCGGAUACAUGGAUGACUUCUUCAACGAGGUGGAGGAGAUACGAGAAAUGAUAGAGAAGAUCCAGAACAAUGUGGAAGAAGUUAAGAAGAAGCACAGUGAGAUUCUAUCCGCCCCGCAAACGGACGAGAAGGUGAAGCAGGAGCUCGAUGACAUGAUGACUGACAUCAAGAAGACAGCCAACAGAGUCCGUGCUAAACUUAAAGUCAUUGAACAGAACAUCGAAUCUGAGGAGCAUGUGAGCAAGGCCAGUGCAGACCUCAGGAUAAAGAAGACACAACACUCGACUCUCAGCCGCAAAUUUGUGGAGGUGAUGACUGAGUACAAUCGCACACAGACUGACUACCGUGAGCGCUGCAAGGGAAGGAUACAGAGACAGCUGGAGAUCACGGGACGCAACACCACCAGUGAAGAGCUGGAGGACAUGCUGGAGCAGGGCAACCCAGCGGUCUUCACACAGGGGAUUAUCAUGGAGACCCAGCAGGCCAAACAGACCUUGGCGGACAUCGAGGCUCGACAUGAAGACAUUGUCAAACUGGAGACUUCAAUCAGGGAGCUCCAUGACAUGUUCAUGGACAUGGCAAUGCUUGUGGAGAGUCAGGGGGAGAUGAUUGAUAGGAUUGAGUAUCACGUAGAUCAGUCCGUCGAAUAUGUGGGGAAAGCUAUGGAGGACACUAAAAAGGCACUUAAGUAUCAGAGCAAAGCACGCAAGAAGAAGAUAAUGAUCAUGGUGUGUGUGUCGGUUCUCUGUGUUGUCCUGAGUAUCAGCGGCGCCAAAUACCUCAAACUAUUCUAAAUCUUCUACUGCUUCGUUGUAACCUAAUUAUGUAAAACUCUACAACCCUUUCUGCUGGUAACAAACACCCAGUAUAUGCUAGUGCUCAGAAUGCUUCGUCUCUCUCUCCUUGUCCCUCCCUCCCCUCCUUCUCCGCAAAGCCCGAAGUACCGGCCUUGUAUAUAGUGCAUAGCGGCAGCCUGAUUGCUACCACCGGAUCUGCCGAGUCAGGCUUGGCACCGCCCGAAGAGAAGAGAAGUGCAGCGUGCGAGGACAGAAAUGCUGCAUAUGUUUUAGUCGUCUCAUUCAAAACACCUAAAAAAAUAUGGGGUAAAAGAGAAAAAAAACUAGUUAUUCUGACCAAUUGUAUGUUUACGUAAACGAUUUGAGAUUUUUGUCCUUGUGGAAAAGAUUUUUGUCAUUUGAAGUGCAAGAUCUGUUAUUUCAUUAAGUCAUGUCUGUCUUUUUAUCUGUCUGUCUGUCUGGUCUGGGCCACUCCUGCGUGUGUCUGUUUGUAUGAGGGUACUCCUUGUUUGCUCAGUCGAGGUGGAUGUUAAAAGAUGUUCCUUUGUCAGCCUUGUGUUGUGUUCCGGAAGGUGUGUCGCAGUGUUACCCAAGUACUGUCUCUCGUCGUGGUUUUUUUCUUUCGUUGUUACGAGAGAGAGAGAGAGAGAGAGAGAUAUAUAUAUACAUAUAUAACUUAUUCAUUUACGUAGUACUGAUGAGUUUGAUUUGUUUCUCGAGGUGGGUGAUGAAGACAAGACAAAGGAAUGCUUGUGUAUUUCAAAAGGUGUAUCUUGACUCCUAGCUUUUCGUGGUACCUGAGUUCCCGCGCUUUGAGAGAGGCGCCAGAGUGAGAUUAGUAGAGGUGCGUUACUUUGUGCGUCAUACCGAGGGUCCAGGCUCCAGGGGGCUGUGUUGUGUGUGAGUGUGGAAGCCUGGACGGUAGGCUUGACUCUUCUGUUAUGAGUAAAAGUUGUUUACUGAUCCUUUGAUGGAGUGCGUCCGGACCUGAACACGUUAAUCUGAUUGUUGAGUUGACUCCCUGGCGGCGCGGGUGGCGGCGUCCAUGUUCUUGUGCCCCGCCCCCCGCCAGGACUAAAUUGUUGACGGUGUGUUGCGAGGCCCUGGGCGGCGUGCUGGGCUAAGGCGGACUGGCCGGUGCUGAGUGCUGAGUCCCCCUCCAGACCCUCCCCGCCGCCAGCCCGGCACUUAUAUGCCACGUAUAAGUGUCCCCAUAACGCUGCUGCUGCUGCUGCUACUACUACUGCCGUGGUGUGGGUGGCGGAGAGUGAGCAGAAGUGUUCCAGUUGUGUGACUCUGAAGUGAGCAGCGCCGCCUCAGUAUUCCCCGGCGGCCGCCCUCCCUCCGGUUGUCGGGCGGGCUGGCGGGGCGGGGCGGUGCUGGCGGGGGCGGCGGCCAGCUCGGUUCCGGCUCCAAACAUUCGUAGAUUCUGUAGUAGAUGUUGACAGACCACCAGUUCUACUCCUGUUUUUACAUUGUAGAGCGUAUUGUAUAAAAUGUACUUAGGGUGUGUGCGAGACAGUGCUGUCCUCUCAUUGUUUGCCGCGGGCGAGUGUCCUUGUUGCCGGGGGGGCGGUGAGGGGCGGGGCACUGUGCCCCGGCCCCCGCCGCCGACCCAACUGUCACUUGUUGGAAAUUAUUGAAAUCUGUGUUCUGAAAUUUGUUUUGCAUUGUACAUGCAUGAAAUGUUCAUCAGUAUUUAGGACGACCGUAGUGAAGGUCAUAGUGGACAACCCGCCGUCGACGCAGCGGACGUGGCUGCUGCUGCUGGGUGGAACGAAACCCGCGGGCCCCGGCGGGGCGGACGGCGGGAGAGAGGGCCUGGCCCGUGCCGCGCGUGGCGGGGCCGUUGUCUGGGACAUCUUGUGUGGCAGACAGGCCCGGGCACGGACAGCUUCCACCACGGCGUCCUGCGGCACAGCCUCUCCCGCCCCGACCUUACGGCCCGGCCAGCGGCGGCAGCGGCGGCCGGAUGCGGCACGGCGCGGCGCGGCGGCGGCCGCAACUCAGUCUGGUUGUGAGUCUGUGUCACAGUCUUUACAUAGUUGUUACAAUGUCUUAAAGAUGCAAAAAAGUUUUCUCCAUGGUAGCAUGAUCUAAUUAGUUAGAGCAAUAAUACUUUAACAUUCAUCAAUCAAUGCAUAUCCUAGCCUAACUUGUGAACUGAUGUAAUGUCCACCGAAAUACUUUACAUUUGAUAUUAUAUUCAACUCUUAACAUCUUUUUAGUGGGUCAGAGGAGGUUCGAUGACAGCGUAGCGACGUCUUGUAUAUUCUUCACCAGAAUUUCUCUGGCCAUUACAUCGCCCCAGCCUGUGGGCGGACCCUCUCUGUGGGCGGCCAGGCGGCAGCGCCCGCACACUGCCAACGCGAGGAGAGGGAGCGACGGCCACACUCCCUCCCUCUCCCUCACCCUCACUCUCGCACACACUCCAACACCAGCAGGUCGUACUUACUGAGUCACCAAGUACCGCGCGGGAGCCUCACUCGCGGGCAUGAGGCGGUGAAGAAUUAAUACAACGUUUUUAUGCAUUGAUACCGUGUCUUGAGCUGUUAGUGCAGAGGCCUCGAGGUCGAUUACCGAUCAGACUAUGCAUUUAUUGUGUUUAUCCAGUGUUAAGCUCCCUCGUGUCGGUUCCACAGUUUUGUAGCGUAGUUGUAGGGUGACAGAGCAGCCUGGCGGCGGUGCUCCUGGGCGGGCACGCUCGCUCCAAGCUCGUCUCGUCCAAGAUAACAAAUCAAACGGGUGGAGGAAUCUAGUGGAGAGCGAUGGUGCUGCUUGAAGGGUGGAUGCCGAGACGCAGGAUGCCGGAGAUGUUGUGGUGGUGCGGGCUGAGGAGGCACGGUGUGAGGCAGCAGCCUGGACGGUGUUCUGUCUCCAGGCAACACGCAGGGUGGAGCUGAUCGCCGCAGGGAUGGAUGGAUGGAUGGAUGGGUGGGUGGGUGGCAGUCUUGGUGUGUGAGGCGCCUGGUUCCGCGUGUGUGUUCCGGUCAAGGUGUUGCCUCGGUGAGGAGCAGGACGUGUCCGCCUCAGGGGCACCGUCCUAGGAUGGGCUGCGGCUGCUGAGAGAAGCUAGAAUAUUCUUUUUUUAAUCCUUUCCUGUGGGCACAUUUUGAUAUCCAGAUAGUAGUGUGUUUGUACCUUGAGUUAGGAGCAGUAGUUGAAGUUUUAGCCAUAUAUAUUAUAUAUAUAUAACAAAAGUAUGGACAUUUUUUUUUAAUAAUCACUAACAUUUAUCAGAGGUACGAUUAACCCUUGUUGUUGAAUGAUCUCCUGUCAUUAUCUAAGAAAAUGAGGGAUAGCAAGGGAGUCCCAUCCCCCUUCACGACCCCUUCCGUGAGAAAAGGGUUAAGAGAGGUGGAGUAAAUAUAUUUGUAGCCGUAGCUCUGUUUAACCGUAUUGUUACCGCAGUUAUACAAUUAGUAGUGCGUUCGUAUAUUGCGAGUAUGUAAUGAUGGAGGCGUGGCGGUCCUGCCGCGCCCUCCAGUGGGUGAAAGUUACAAAGGGGUGCAUGGCUCUUCUCCUCCCCCCCUCCCUCCCUGUCACCUGUCACCGUUCCCCCCCUCCCCUUCCAUUGUGGUGAUAAUACAUUGUCUGCCUCUCUCUCUCUCUCUCUCUCUCUCUCUCUCUCUCUCUCUCUCUCUCUCUCUCUCUCUCUCUCUCUCUCUCUCUCUCUCUCUCUCUCUCUCUCUCUCUCUCUCUCUCUCUCUCUCUCUCUCUCUCUCUCUCUCUCUAUCCUUCAUUCAUGUUGUCAUCUGCUAAUGUACGUGCGUGUGCGUGUGCGUGUGCGCGUGUCCAUCACUCCCAAUUUUACAGCCCGUUCCAACCACUGCUCGGGGUUCCCUCCCUCCCCCUCUAUCUUUCCCCAUCCCUCCCCGCCAGCCCACCCCGCCCCGCCCCGCCCCGCCCUGCCCCUACUUACGGUGUGGGAGGCUGUGUAUCUCUUGUUGUUGUUGUUGUUGUCGUCAGCGACUGUGAGACUCAGAUGAAAGUCCUAUUAAAAAAUGGCGGGGACGGUCCAAUGAUAGCUUGUAGCAGUCUCUCUCUCUCUCUCUCUCUCUCUCUCUCUCUCUCUCUCUCUCUCUCUCUCUCUCUCUCUCUCUCUUUCUUCCAAGAGCACAAAGACCUCAUUUCCCUCCCUGUCUCUGCUAAAGCGUAAUAACUCUCCAUUCCCCCUCGAGUCAGCUAGCGAGAAGUGACCGCCAGUGCUGUCCUCUCUUGACCAUCACCAGAACCACUGACUGACUGGCUUCAGCUCGCCCGUCUUACUCAUGCUUAGUGAACACAAGCCUUUUUUAGUAGAAUGUGACGAACGUGUACAAACGGGAGAAUGUGUAACAAGCAUAACAAAAUAUUUAAAGCACAUUUUUUGAUAAUACUCACUAGUCCACUCCUUCCCUCUCUUUUUUUUUCCCCUGCCUUUCAUUCCCCUUUCUUUAACUUCACUCUUUCUCUUCCUCCCUGGUUUCAUUUUUAUACACUAUUUAUUCUUUGUAACUUUCGUAUAUGCAAUUGCUCCCUUACCCCUCCCGUUGCCCUCCCCUCCCCUUCCUCUCCCGUCUCCCUUCUUCCCCUUCCCUCACCCCCAGCAUUAGUAUGGAUCAAGGAGUGUUCUAUCGAUCUUCUUUGCGAUUCAACUCUUUAACGUGUACAUUCUAAGCUUACAAGUUACGAAGUGAAUAUAGAAGAUAAGCAAU
rnacentral:misc_RNA from 1 species